rnacentral:sRNA from 1 species
UGAAACUGGAAAGGUCUCCGGGCCACCAGUUU